rnacentral:rRNA from 1 species
UACGUAGGGGGCAAGCGUUGUCCGGAAUCAUUGGGCGUAAAGAGCGUGUAGGCGGCUCGAUAAGUCUGCUGUGAAAGUCCAGGGCUCAACCCUGGAAGGCCGGUGGAAACUGUCGGGCUAGAGUCCGGAAGAGGCGAGUGGAAUUCCCGGUGUAGCGGUGAAAUGCGCAGAUAUCGGGAGGAACACCAAUGGCGAAGGCAGCUCGCUGGGACGGUACUGGACGCUGAGACGCGAAAGCGUGGGGAGCAAACAGG